ACAUAUUUCCUCUUCUUUCUCAAAUUCCAGCUUUCAAUUUUCAUCUUCAAAUUAAAAAGGUAUUUCAAGACAGUUCAGAUUUUUAAUUUUUAUUUUUUUAUUUUUAAUUUGUUAAAUAUUGUGUUGAUUUUUUUAUUUUAUAACUAAUAUUGUUAAAAAUUUUUUCUUGAAGAUUCAUCAAUAUUCAAGCUUUUUAUUUUAUCUUCAUUGAGUUAUUAAGCAAUUUUUUUUUCAUAUUUAAAUAUAUAUUGGGUUAUUGGUUGUUGUUAGUGUAGUAUUAUUGUUUUUUAAAACAAAAUUUUAUUAAAAUAAAUAUAUAGUUAGUCCCAAAUUAAUUUAUUAAUAUA
rnacentral:lncRNA from 1 species